rnacentral:rRNA from 1 species
GAUGAACGCUGGCGGCGUGCUUAACACAUGCAAGUCGAACGGGAAAUAUUUCAUUGAGACUUCGGUGGAUUUGAUUUAUUUCUAGUGGCGGACGGGUGAGUAACGCGUGGGUAACCUGCCUUAUACAGGGGGAUAACAGUCAGAAAUGGCUGCUAAUACCGCAUAAGCGCACAGAGCUGCAUGGCUCAGUGUGAAAAACUCCGGUGGUAUAAGAUGGACCCCCGUGGGAUUAGCUAGUUGGUGGGGUAACCGCCCACCAAGGCGACGAUCCAUAGCCGGCCUGUGAGGGUGAGCGGACACAUUGGGACUGAGACACAGCCGAGACUCCUACGGGAGGCAGCAGUGGGGAAUAGUGCACAAUGGGGGGAGCCCUGAUGCAGCGACGCCGCGUGAAGGAAGAAGUAACUCGGUAUGUAAACUUCUAGCAGCAGGGAAGAUAGUGACGGUACCUGACUAAGAAGCCCCGGCUAACUACGUG